rnacentral:rRNA from 1 species
UACGGAGGGUGCAAGCGUUGUUCGGAUUUACUGGGCGUAAAGCGCGCGCAGGUGGGUGACCAAGUCGGGAAGUGAAAUCUCGAGGCUCAACCUCGAGGCUGCUCCCGAAACUGGUCGCCUAGGGACGUGGUAGAGGCUGGUAGAAUUCCCGGUGUAGCGGUGGAAUGCGUAGAGAUCGGGAAGAAUACCUGUGGCGAAGGCGGUUCUCUGGGCCUUAC